CCCUUAGAUGUUCUGGGCUGCACGCGCGCUACACUGAUGCGUUCAACAAGUGUUAACCUUGCCCGAUAGGGUUGGGUAAUCUUUUGAAAGCGCAUCGUGAUGGGGAUCGAUGACUGCAAUUGUUCAUCUUCAACGAGGAAUUCCUAGUAAGCGCAAGUCAUCAGCUUGCACUGAUUACGUCCCUGCCCUUUGUACACACCGCCCGUCGCUCCUACCGAUUGAGUGAUCCGGUGGAUAGUUCGGAUCGUGCAGGUUGCCUUCGGGUGCUUGUAUGAGAAGUUCAGUAAACCUUAUCACUUAGAGGAAGGAGAAGUCGUAACA
rnacentral:rRNA from 1 species